rnacentral:rRNA from 1 species
GACGAACGCUGGCGGCGUGCUUAACACAUGCAAGUCGAACGGAAAGGCCCUGCUUGCAGGGUACUCGAGUGGCGAACGGGUGAGUAACACGUGGGUGAUCUGCCCUCCACUUCGGGAUAAGCCUGGGAAACUGGGUCUAAUACCGGAUAGGAGCCAUUUUUAGUGAGAUGGUUGGAAAGUUUUUUCGGUGUAGGAUGAGCUCGCGGCCUAUCAGCUUGUUGGUGGGGUAAUGGCCUACCAAGGCGGCGACGGGUAGCCGGCCUGAGAGGGUGGACGGCCACAUUGGGACUGAGAUACGGCCCAGACUCCUACGGGAGGCAGCAGUGGGGAAUAUUGCACAAUGGGCGCAAGCCUGAUGCAGCGACGCCGCGUGGGGGAUGACGGCCUUCGGGUUGUAAACUCCUUUCGCUAGGGACGAAGCUUUUUGUGACGGUACCUAGAUAAGAAGCACCGGCUAACUACGUG